UUUUUUUUCCAAAGAAUAAGAAGAUGGCAGUCGCCGAAUUGGAAGAGCUGAAGAAUCAUUUUAAAACGCACACUCGAACGAGGGAAGUCUCUGCACAUUCGGCCAAGGUUCACGCCACUUUGCGAAUUUUUCUCUCGAUGAUGUGAAGUACGAGCCUAUUUACAGGAUUUGGAUCAGUUUCUAUCCGGCCGUUUUCAUGGCUCACUCUAAGCUAUUCGAAUCCAUUUUAUCGAACCCUAAACUAAUCAAUAGUAUUG